CCUACGGGUGGCAGCAGUAGGGAAUCUUCCACAAUGAGCGAAAGCCUGAUGGAGCAACGCCGCGUGCGUGAUGAAGGUCUUCGGAUCGUAAAACCCUGUUGUUAGAGAAGAACGUUUGUAAGAGUAAAUGUUUACGUUUCGACGGUAUCUAUCCAGAAAGCCAUGGCUAACUAAGUGCCAGCAGCCGCGGUAAUACGUAGGUGGCAAGCGUUAUCCGGAUUUAUUGGGCGUAAAGGGUACGCAGGCGGUCUGUUAAGUCUGGUGUUAAAUCCCUGGGCUUAACCCGAGGAGUGCAUUGGAUACUGGGAGACUGGAGUGAGGAAGAGGGGAGUGGAACUCCAUGUGUAGCGGUGAAAUGCGUAGAUAUAUGGAAGAACACCAGAGGCGAAGGCAGCUUACUGGGCUGUAACUGACGCUGAGGGACGAAAGCGUGGGUAGCAAACAGGAUUAGAUACCCGAGUAGUC
rnacentral:rRNA from 1 species